rfam:Gossypium raimondii chromosome 7, whole genome shotgun sequence.
GUUUUCUUUGGCCGAGUGGUUAAGGCGUGUACCUGCUAAGUACAUGGGGUUUCCCCGCGAGAGCUCGAAUCUCUCAGGCGACG